ensembl:snoRNA small nucleolar RNA, C/D box 65
AAAUGAUGAAAUCACCCCAAAGUAGCUGGAAUUACCGGCAGAUGGUGCAGUGUUGAGCCUCAGGUUUUCUGACG